rnacentral:rRNA from 1 species
CAGCCGCGGUAAUUCCAGCUCCAAUAGCAUAUAUUAAAGUUGUUGCGGUUAAACGCCCGUAGUUGGAUCAGCGGAUUUGGAGAACGGUCUGCCGAUGGGCUGUACUGUUCUCCUGUCCUAUUUUCUCUAGUUCGCUCUAGGUGCUCUUCACUGAGUGUCUAGAGUGGCUGGAACUUUUACUUUGAAAAAAUUAGAGCGCUCAAAGCAGGCGUCUCAGCCUGAAUAGUGGUGCAUGGAAUAAUGGAAUAGGACCUCAGUUCUAUUUUGUUGGUUUUCGGAACAUGAGGUAAUGAUUAAGAGGGACAGACGGGGGCAUUCGUAUUGCGACGUUAGAGGUGAAAUUCUUGGAUCGUCGCAAGACGAACUACUGCGAAAGCAUUUGCCAAGAAUGUUUUCAUUAAUCAAGGACGAUAGUUAGAGGUUCGAAGGCGAUCAGAUACCGCCCUAGUUCUAACCGUAAACGAUGUCAACCAGCGAUCCGCAGGAGUUAUUCAUGACUCUGCGGGCAGCUUCCGGGAAACCAAAGUUUUUGGAUUCCGGGGGGAGUAUGGUUGCAAAGCUGAAACUUAAAGGAAUUGACGGAAGGGCACCACCAGGAGUGGAGCCUGCGGCUUAAUUUGACUCAACGCGGGGAAACUCACCCGGCCCGGACACCGUAAGGAUUGACAGAUUGAGAGCUCUUUCUUGAUUCGGUGGGUGGUGGUGCAUGGCCGUUCUUAGUUGGUGGAGCGAUUUGUCUGGUUAAUUCCGAUAACGAACGAGACUCUAGCCUACUAAAUAGAAGGCAAAUUAUUCGUUUGCUGUACUUCUUAGAGGGACUAGGGGCGUCUAGCCUCACGAGAUUGAGCAAUAACAGGUCUGUGAUGCCCUUAGAUGUCCGGGGCCGCACGCGCGCUGCACUGAAGGAUUCAGCAAGUGUUAACCCUGGUCUGAGAAGAUCGGGUAACCUUAUGAAACUCCUUCGUGAUUGGGAUAGGGACUUGUAAUUAUUUCCCUUGAACGAGGAAUUCCUAGUAAGUGUGGGUCAUCGGCUCGCGUUGAUUACGUCCCUGCCCUUUGUA